rnacentral:rRNA from 1 species
ACGGGGUAGGAAUACGUAGGUAACGUACCCUCAGGACGGGGAUAGCCACGGGAAACUGUGGGUAAUACCCGAUGAUCUGGUCUGGAUUGAUUUCCGGAUCAGCAAAGGUGAGAUUCCACCUGAGGAGCGGCUUACGCGAUAUUAGCUUGUUGGUGAGGUAACGGCUCACCAAGGCUGCGAUAUCUAGGGGGUGUGAGAGCAUGGCCCCCACCACUGGGACUGAGAUACUGCCCAGACACCUACGGGUGGCUGCAGUCGAGAAUCUUCGGCAAUGGGCGAAAGCCUGACCGAGCGACGCCGCGUGCGGGACGAAGGCCUUCGGGUUGUAAACCGCUGUCGGGAGGGAUGAAGUGCACGGGGGCUAUCCCCUGUGUUUGACAGAGCUCCGGAGGAAGCACGGGCUAAGUUCGUGCCAGCAGCCGCGGUAAUACGAACUGUGCGAACGUUAUUCGGAAUCACUGGGCUUAAAGGGUGCGUAGGCGGCGCUGUAAGUCAGGUGUGAAAUCCCCCGGCUCAACCGGGGAAUGGCGCUUGAAACUGCAGUGCUUGAGUGAGGUAGGGGUGCAUGGAACUUCCGGUGGAGCGGU